UGUCGGUACCAGCCAAUAUUUUCCCCUUUCUCAAAACGUUUGAAUAUUAAGUGCCAUGUGUUUAUAGAAAAUAAUAUAUAUUUUACUUCUACUUUUUUAAAUAUGUUAGAAAAAAUAACCAGAGGAAUUUACAAUCUAUUAAUCAUCAGUUACAGAGUUCCCUUUCAUACAAACGGUGGCACAUUUAGAAAAGGGAACUAACUAGUCUAGUUACCUCCUAUUGCUUAUACAUAUGUGUGUGUGUGUGUGUGUGCUGUGAACGAUGAGUUCUUCUACCCACAGCCUGUGGGGUAUUGAUAUGAUUAAAACAGUUCAGUAAAUGAAGUCGGCUUUAAACUGUCAUCUUUGAAAGGGGAACUUAAACAACAACACCACUGUAGAUAUUUUCGAGAUGUAAAAACCUUCUAAACAUUGCUAAAAGUAUUACGAAGAUUCAAACAUCUUUCUAAUAGACUGCAAGCUUCCAUAUUUGAAACUUUAGCUGAAUUCUCACAUUUGAAAUAUUUUUUCUAUAUUUUUCGAGCAAUGUUUAAAAUAAUAUCUGAACAAGUGUAAUUUGAGAUUUAAGUAUCGAACUAAAACUGUUGUUUUAGGUAGUAAAUUACGAAUUCCCAAUAAUAUUGUUAAAUGUAAAAAUAUAAUUUUAUAAUAAAGAUGUUGCUAAACGAACAAGGUUUGUUAUAAACCACAGUCGUUUGUCGAUCUCGGCUUUUAUCUACUUUCUCUCUCAUACCUACUCACCCACCCACCAGCGGAAUGAAAAAGAGUGUGAGAUACAAGAGAGAUAAAACCACAAACAUUUCACUAGUAGCCAUUUAGGGAGGAUACUAGCUUGGCACUAUACAUAAUAUUAAUAUUCCUAAGAUUAUUUUGCCUUGAGUUUAUGUGUAGUAAACAUAUAAAUUUAUAACAAGAAAAAGACUGAUGAACGAUCUGGAAUUAACAUUAGUCUGAGAAGCGAGAUAAAAAAAUAGCUUUUCUGACACUAACUUUAAUUUGUUUUUUGACUUUUCUUGACUGAAUGACAGUCAUCUCAGACCUGGUUAUGAAGCUGAAGCCGAAGGUCAGGGUUGGGAACUGUCUUACCGAGUGCCCAAAAAUUGUUGGUCCUGCGAAUCAGAAUGCGUGCAGACAGGCCUGCUGCCUCUUGUUCCAAAUUUUUUGCCUUGGCUAACGAGACUUCUUAUCAAGCAACACGAUCUUGAAGAUGUGAAAUAAAAAUUUCAUGUUCAGCAAA